rnacentral:rRNA from 1 species
AACGCGAAGAACCUUACCUGGGCUUGAACCGCACAGGACCAUCUUCAGAAAUGAGGACUUCCCGCAAGGGACCUGUGUAGAGGUGCUGCAUGGCUGUCGUCAGCUCGUGCCGUGAGGUGUUGGGUUAAGUCCCGCAACGAGCGCAACCCUUACUCAUAGUUGCUACCCGCAAGGGAGAACUCUAUGAGGACUGCUCCGGAUAACGGAGAGGAAGGUGGGGAUGAGGUCAAGUCAGCAUGGCCUUUAUGUCCAGGGCCACACACGUGUUACAAUGCGCGCCACAAAGCGUCGCGAACCCGCGAGGGGGAGCUAAUCGCAAAAAAGCGCGCUCAGUUCGGAUUGCAGUCUGCAACUCGACUGCAUGAAGCCGGAAUCGCUAGUAAUGGCGCAUCAGAACGGCGCCGUGAAUACGUUCCCGGGCCUUGUA